rnacentral:tRNA from 1 species
GGAUUGUGGCUCAGUGGCAGAGAGCUUGCCUUGCACACGUGAGGUGCUGGUUUCAAUUCUCAGCACCA